rnacentral:rRNA from 1 species
AUUGAACGCUGGCGGCAGGCCUAACACAUGCAAGUAGAACGAGUGGCGGACGGGUGAGUAAUGUCUGGGAAACUGCCUGCUGGAGGGGGCUAACUACUGGAAACGGUAGCUAAUACCGCAUACCAUCAGAUGUGCCCAGAUGGGAUUAGCUAGUUGGUGGGGUAACGGAUCACCAAGGCGACGAUCCCUAUGUGGUCUGAGAGGAUGACCCGCCACACUGGAACGGAGACACGGUCCAUACUCCUACGUGAGGCAGCAGUGGGGAAUAUUGCACUAUGGGCGAACGCCUGAUGCAGCCAUGCCGCUUGUAUGAAGAAGGCCUUCGGGUUGUAAAGGACUUUCAGCGGGGAGGCGUUAACCGCAGAAGAAGCACCGGCUAACUCCGUGCCAGCAGCCGCGGUAAUAC